GGCAGACGGGUGAGUAACGCGUGGUUACGUACCCUUUCCUGCGGAAUAGCUCCGGGAAACUGGAAUUAAUACCGCAUACGCCCUACGGGGGAAAGAUUUAUCGGGAAAGGAUCGGCCCGCGUUGGAUUAGCUAGUUGGUGGGGUAAAGGCCUACCAAGGCGACGAUCCAUAGCUGGUCUGAGAGGAUGAUCAGCCACAUUGGGACUGAGACACGGCCCAAACUCCUACGGGAGGCAGCAGUGGGGAAUAUUGGACAAUGGGCGCAAGCCUGAUCCAGCCAUGCCGCGUGAGUGAUGAAGGCCUUAGGGUUGUAAAGCUCUUUCACCGGAGAAGAUAAUGACGGUAUCCGGAGAAGAAGCCCCGGCUAACUUCGUGCCAGCAGCCGCGGUAAUACGAAGGGGGCUAGCGUUGUUCGGAAUUACUGGGCGUAAAGCGCACGUAGGCGGACAUUUAAGUCAGGGUUGAAUCCCUAGAGCUCAACUCUGGAACUGCCUUUGA
rnacentral:rRNA from 1 species